AGAGUUUGAUCCUGGCUCAGGAUGAACGUUGGCGGCGUGCCUAAUACAUGCAAGUCGAACGCGAAGCUUGUCUUCGGAUGAGUGGAGAGUGGCGCGCGGGUGAGUAACACAUGGUUGACCUGCCCUUCAGCGGGGGACAACCACUGGAAACGGUGGCUAAUACCCCAUAUGCUCACGCGGUUUAGAAGCGUGUGAGGAAACUUCCGGGGCUGAAGGAGGGGACUGUGGCCCAUCAGCUAGUUGGUAGGGUAACGGCCUACCAAGGCGAGGACGGGUAGGGGGCCUGAGAGGGUGACCCCCCACACGGGUACUGAGACACGGACCCGACUCCUACGGGAGGCAGCAGUAAGGGAUAUUGCGACAAUGGGCGAAAGCCUGACGCAGCAACGCCGCGUGUGGGAUGACGGCCUUCGGGUUGUAAACCACUUUUCGGGGGGAAGAGGAAGGACGGUACCCCCGGAAUAAGUCUCGGCUAACUACGUGCCAGCAGCCGCGGUAAAACGUAGGAGGCGAACGUUAUCCGGAUUUACUGGGUGUAAAGCGCGUGCAGGCGGUAUCGUAAGUCGUGUGUGAAAGCGCUCAGGCUCAACCGGGCGAGGCCAUGCGAAACUGCGGUACUUGAGGUAGGUAGAGGCAUGUGGAAUUCCGGGUGUAGUGGUGAAAUGCGUAGAUAUCCGGAGGAACACCAGUGGCGAAGGCGACACGCUGGGCCUGACCUGACGCUAAGACGCGAAAGCAUGGGGAGCGAACGGGAUUAGAAACCCCGGUAGUCCAUGCCGUAAACGAUGCAUACUAGGUGUUGCGGUGUAGAAACUGCAGUGCCGAAACAAACGUGAUAAGUAUGCCACCUGGGGACUACGGCCGCAAGGUUAAAACUCAAAGGAAUUGACGGGGGCCCGCACAAGCAGCGGAGCGUGUGGUUUAAUUCGAGCCUACACGAAGAACCUUACCUGGGCUUGACAUAGCGGUGGUAGGAAACCGAAAGGGGACCGACCUUCGGGAGCCGUUACAGUGCUGCAUGGCUGUCGUCAGCUCGUGUCGUGAGAUGUUCGGUUAAGCCCGGUAACGAGCGCAACCCUCGUCGUUAGUUACAAGUGUCUAACGAGACUGCCCGUUGAACGCGGGAGGAAGGUGGGGAUGACGUCAAGUCAGCAUGGCCUUUAUGUCCAGGGCUACACACACGCUACAAUGGCCGGUACAAUGGGUC
rnacentral:rRNA from 1 species